UCCUCUCUAACUCCCAACUUACAGUAAACUCAAUGGUUCUCUCUCCUCUUAAUUAUUCAACCAUGAAAUACUCUCAACCUCUUCGUUUUUCUCUCUCCUCCGCUCGGCCCAGCCAACCACCACAUCACCACCACCACCGUCAAUUCGUCUAACUUACAAACUUCCAUUGAGCUCCUAGCCACUUUCUCUCUCCUCCUAACACAAUAAACAUUGGAAGUUGGAAGCAAACAACCAGCAACCGUGCCACCAUUACCGCACAACCAGUCACCAUGGGUGUUCUUCUCUCUCCUCUCCACGGCCUAACCCGGCACCGCACCACCAUCACUAUCUACGCCCAAUUUCAACCAAGUUUUUUCUCUCUCCUCUGAUCUGGUUGUGCGCCACCAUUGGUGGUCUUCCAUCGUGAUAUUGUUGCCCUUCAAUGUAGUUUCUUCCCCUGAGGUUAUAUAUUGUGCGUUGUUGCUUUGUUGAUGUUGCCUAUGUCUACUCUAUUGAGCUUAAUUUAUCUCUCUAAUUUUGAUUUAAAUUCCAAAUCAUAUUAUAAGCUCAAAAUCAUUUAAAUUUAUAUUUUUCCACUUUAAAUUGGGUUUAAAAAAAGCUUUUUCAUUCAUAUUAGAUAAAGGAUUUAUCAAUGGGUUAUAUACUGUCAUAUACUCAUAUAGUUAAUUUUAAUUGAGUGAUACAGUCAUUCCUACUUAUGUUGUUAUUGAAGGAAGAAGAGGAGUAGAGGCGAUUUAAGUUGCUCAUUUAGCGCAUAUGAGCAUAACAAAUUUGCUCAUUUGUGUAAAUGAGUAAAAAAAUUUACUCAUUUGUGUAAAUGAGUAAAAAAAAUUACUCAUUUUGUGUAAAUGAGCAAAUUGGUUUUGCUCAUCUGUAUAAAUUGUAGAAACAACUAUGGAAAGUUGUAGAAAGCAUCAGAGCAAUAUAUUCAGGUAUCGUUGGGUUAUCUUCCCAAGACUUGAGGUAAACAUGGGAAAGACAUUGUUAUUGUUGGGAGAGAGAAACCAAUGAUGUCUUGGCCUAGUGGUUAAGACUGAUGGCCUGUGUACGAUAGGUCUCAGGUUCGAAUUCCUCCGCCCCAUUUGUAAUUUAUAUUGCCCUUGUGGCUCAUUCGCACCAAAAAAAAAAGAAAAAAAAUUGUUGGGAGAGAGAAAGAUCAGGGGAAGAAAAUCAAGGAACUUUUAUUUCUUAUUUAUUUCAUUUUUUCACUUGGUUUAUUUUGUAAUUCGCCCACCCUACUUAUGAGUUUGUCUCAACAAAAUUCAUUGUUAAUGCUAGAGACAUUAAUCGGCAUUGUGCAACUUAUGAAUGUAAUCAUUCUUGGUAAUGCUCUGUUUUGUGUUUACCUGCUCUUUUGCGCCAGUCAGGUCUAGUGAUGUGGCUUUAUUUUAAUUUGUCAACUUUCCGCUAGUUUUAUUUUAAUUUGUUAAUAAUCUACUGCUGUAGCACGCGAAAGAUUAGUCGUUGGAUCAGUUUAAUUGCACGGUUGAGAUUCCUUCUCAUUCUUCUCAUUUUAAAGAUCAUCUCAUUGGAGGGGGACUAUAUAUAUAUAUAUAUAUAUAUAUAUAUAUAAAUCUAUAGGGCAAGGAUCCGGUGAGAAGUACACUUAUCGUGAGAAGGUGAGAAAUAAUCUCAACCGUAGAAACGAGUUAAUCCAACGAUGCAUAAUUUUGUAGGAUCCCGCGAUUACAUUUGGUAUCAGAGCUGGAAAAGUGAUUACAUUGAAGACCGAAGACCCAACACCUGAAAGGUUACAAGAUUUGAAGAAAAUAUGGAAGAGAAAAGAGGUAACUCAGUCUGGAGCCAAAGCUGAUGAUGCAGAUGAAAUCGGAUAACACCUCACCGGUACACUUAGACUUUGAUUACUGGUGAUUGGUGAAUACAAAGAACACAGCAGCUGGUGAAUGUAAAGAUUGCACUUAGAAUGGUUAAUAGAUUUGUUUUUUUAGGUUAAAAAUAUAUACUUCAUGGAUUUCUGUUAGCCAUAUUCGUGCAGGUGCUAGUUUUAAUGUUACACACAUAAUAUUGGAUAUGUAAAUGUAGUAAUGCAGGUGCUAGUUUUAAUGUUACACACAGAAUAGAAGUAUUGGAUAUAUAAAUGUAGUCAACGUUAAACACAGAA